AGAUAACCACAUACUGUGACAUCAUAAGGUCAGACUGUCAAGAGCAGCCAAUCAGAUGGAGCACAGAGACUGAUUCAGCUGCAGGUCAUUCAACAGUGAGAACGGAAGAUGUCAGUUAUGCGGAAAUCAUCAUAAAAGACACGGGAAACAGGUCAAAGAGAGAGUUUCAGCCAGAGCCAAAUGUCAUCUACUCCACAGUGAAGUAAUCCAC